UAGGGAAUCUUCCGCAAUGGACGAAAGUCUGACGGAGCAACGCCGCGUGAGUGAAGAAGGAUUUCGGUUUGUAAAACUUUGUUGUUAGGGAAGAAUAAAUGUAUAGUAACCAUAUACAAAAGAGACGGUACCUAACCAGAAAGCCACGGCUAACUACGUGCCAGCAGCCGCGGUAAUACGUAGGUGGCAAGCGUUUUCCGGAAUUAUUGGGCGUAAAGCGCGCGCAAGUAGUUUAGAAAGUCUGAUGUGAAAACCCACGGCUCAACCGUGGAGGGUCAUUGGAAACUAAUAAACUUGAGUGCAGGGGAGAAAAGUGGAAUUCCUAGUGUAGCGGUGAAAAGCGUAGAGAUAAGGAGGAGCACCGGUGGCGAAAGCGGCUUUUUGGCCUGAAACUGAAUCUAAGGCGCGAAAGAGUGGGGAGCAAACAGG
rnacentral:rRNA from 1 species